rnacentral:lncRNA from 1 species
GAGCAGUGUGAGCUGGACGAGGGCUGGAAGUAUGAGGCUAUCUGGAUGUUAAGAAGAAGACUAGCUGAUGGAAGUGGGGUCACAUGAGGAAGUCAUGGGGCUGGCCUGGCAUGUCCUUCAUCCUUCUGUGGUUCAAAAAGAACAGGGACUGCACCAUAUACAACCCCCUGGGGGUUCCCCCAAGGUUCUGUCACAGGGUUUAACCACUUUGCUUUGGAGUCAGCCUGCUCGGGUUCAAAUCCUGACACCGCUACUUUAUUGCCCCAUGACCUUGGGCAAGUGACCUAACUGUGCCUGUUUCCUCAUCUGUUAAGCGAGGGUAAUAAUAGUCCCAACCUCACGGCCUUGUUGAAGAGAUCAAUAGGAAACGCCUGUCUGGUGCCUAGCCCAGCAGCCUUCCCCGCCCCCAAUGGUCUCAUCGCCCAUGCUCUCCCCACCUGUGCAGAGAAGCAGCGGUGCAAUGUCUCCAGGACCCAGGGAGCUGAGCAGGAGAGGGUGCUACCGCCCAAGGGGAAAGGGAUGGAAAGCAAGAGAGCUUCCUGGCAGAGGAGACCUUUGAGCUAUGAUUGGAUUCAAGUCUCAAAGUUCCAGGUUAUUCCGGGAAGGAGGUGUCCUGUCUCCCAGACCAGUUUGUCAGCUUCCCCAUGGUGGCACUGGCUCCAUACCUGGCACCCAAUGUCUCUUGGGGACUGCAGGGCUCCCAGGCCACAGGAGGACAACAAGUCCAGAGCCCAUGUCAUCAGACUUUCUCAAGUCACAGGCCAAAUUGGAGAGGCCACAUGCCCGAAGCCACCCAGAGGGGUCAAGCAAAGCCAGGACUCCAGGCAGCAAAUCUUCCUUAUGUCCUUCCUGCAUGUGAGGCCCUGAGCAGAGUGCCAGGGAUGAGGAGGAACAGACAGAGCAGCAGCUGCCCUCACCGCCCAGUGGCAGAUGUGAGCAAGUUAUCAACUCUAGCACAACAGGAGAGCCCUUACCUGCAGCUGGGGAGACCGGGGACCUCCUGGCUGAAGUGACCUUUAAGCCAAGGCCUCAAAGCUGAAGAGGAAUGUGUUUUCCCAAGAUAAAUGCAAAGGCUGAGGAUCAAGAAAAAAACAG